GCUUAGCCCUAAACCUAGAUAGUUAACCAAACAAAACUAUNCGCCAGAGAACUACUAGCAACAGCUUAAAACUCAAAGGACUUGGCGGNGCUUUACAUCCCUNUAGAGGAGCCUGUUCUAUAAUCGAUAAACCCCGAUACACCUCACCAUCUNUUGCUAAUUNAGCCUAUAUACCGCCAUCUUCAGCAAACCCUAAAAAGGAAUAAAAGUAAGCACAAGUAUCUUAACACAAAAAAGUAGGUCAAGGUGUAGCCCAUGAGAUGGGAAGUAAUGGGCUACAUUUUCUAAAACUAGAACAUCCACGAAAAUCCUUAUGAAACUAAGUAUUAAAGGAGGAUUUAGUAGUAAAUUUGAGAAUAGAGAGCUCAAUUGAAUCGGGCCA
rnacentral:rRNA from 1 species